CCUACGGGAGGCAGCAGUGAGGAAUAUUGGUCAAUGGGCUCAAGCCUGAACCAGCCAAGUCGCGUGAGGGAAGACUGCCCUACGGGUUGUAAACCUCUUUUGCCAGGGAGCAACUGGCGUCACGUGUGGCGCCACUGAGAGUACCCGAAGAAAAAGCAUCGGCUAACUCCGUGCCAGCAGCCGCGGUAAUACGGAGGAUGCGAGCGUUAUCCGGAUUUAUUGGGUUUAAAGGGUGCGUAGGCGGAAUGUCAAGUCAGUGGUAAAAUCGCGGGGCUCAACCCCUCACCGCCAUUGAAACUGGCGGUCUUGAGUGGACGAGAAGUAUGCGGAAUGCGUGGUGUAGCGGUGAAAUGCAUAGAUAUCACGCAGAACUCCGAUUGCGAAGGCAGCAUGCCGGCGCCCAACUGACGCUGAAGCACGAAAGCGUGGGUAUCGAACAGGAUUAGAUACCCUUGUAGUC
rnacentral:rRNA from 1 species